rnacentral:rRNA from 1 species
GAUGAACGCUAGCGAUAGGCUUAACACAUGCAAGUCGAGGGGUAACGUGUUGGAAGCUUGCUUCCGAUGACGACGACCGGCGGAUGGGUGCGUAACGCGUAUGCAACUUGCCUCACAGUGGAGAAUAACCCGGAGAAAUCCGGACUAAUACUCCAUACACUCUUAAGUACGCCUGUACAUGAGAGGAAAGAUUUAUCGCUGUGAGAUAGGCAUGCGUCCUAUUAGGUAGUUGGUGAGGUAACGGCUCACCAAGCCGACGAUAGGUAGGGGUGCUGAGAGGCAGGUCCCCCACAUUGGGACUUGGACACGGCCCAAACUCCUACGGGAGGCAGCAGUGAGGAAUAUUGGUCAAUGGAGGAAACUCUGAACCAGCCAAGUCGCGUGAAGGAAGAAUGUCCUAAGGAUUGUAAACUUCUUUAGCGAGCGAGUAAGGACUUCCACGUGAUGGGAGUUGGAAAGUAGCUCGAGAAUAAGUAUCGGCUAACUCCGU